ACGGAGGGUGCAAGCGUUGUUCGGAAUUACUGGGCGUAAAGCGCGUGUAGGCGGAUAUACAUGUCAGAUGUGAAAUCCCUUGGCUCAACUGAGGAAGUGCAUCUGAAACUGAAUAUCUUGAGUACGAUAGAGGAGAGUGGAAUUCCCAGUGUAGAGGUGAAAUUCAUAGAUAUUGGGAAGAACACCGGUGGCGAAGGCGGCUCUCUGGAUCGAUACUGACGCUGAUACGCGAAAGCGUGGGGAGCAAACAG
rnacentral:rRNA from 1 species